AAUAAACUAACUGUGGAUCCAUGUGUGACCAAGGAGCAAAGAAUAGAAGGAUUUGAUCUUUCAGGGCCCAUGGGUGUGGCCUUCAUGGUAAAGUCACAAUUGAGCAAAGAUUUGGAGAAAGACCAUCCAAGGCAGGGUGCACAAGUCCCAGAAACUAAAGGAGAGCGGAGACCCCUGGGGUGUCGUGGCAUGAACAGGAGUUGGAGAAGCUGCAAGGCUGGGCCGUGGGCAGCCUGGAAACCUCAUGAAGGACCCUGUCCUUUGUGGAUGUCAGGAUGUCACACUCAGCUGAAGCCAGAAUGUGGAGCAACAGACGGAAACCAGUUCAUGCUCUUGAAAGAGUCACCUGUGCCAGCCAAGCACAGACAUGAAGGGUGGAGGAAGAGCCAACUUGAGGAGUCCACUGAGAAGACCACUCAGAAGCUGGAAGAGAGGGGCUCAGACUAGCAACGACCUGGGAGAGGAGCAAAGGAGCAGACUUCAAGAAUGGCUUGGAGACAGAGAAAGAAACUGACAGUGCUUGACAGUGUUUGCUUUUAAAUU
rnacentral:lncRNA from 1 species